rnacentral:rRNA from 1 species
GACGAACGCUGGCGGCGUGCUUAACACAUGCAAGUCGAACGCUGAAGCUCAGCUUUUGUUGGGUGGAUGAGUGGCGAACGGGUGAGUAACACGUGAGUAACCUGCCUCCUUCUUUGGGAUAACGCCCGGAAACGGGUGCUAAUACUGGUUAUUCACUGGUCUUCGCAUGGGGGUUGGUGGAAAGGGUUUUUCUGGUGGGGGAUGGGCUCGCGGCCUAUCAGCUUGUUGGUGGGGUGAUGGCCUACCAAGGCUUUGACGGGUAGCCGGCCUGAGAGGGUGACCGGUCACAUUGGGACUGAGAUACGGCCCAGACUCCUACGGGAGGCAGCAGUGGGGAAUAUUGCACAAUGGGCGCAAGCCUGAUGCAGCGACGCCGCGUGAGGGAUGGAGGCCUUCGGGUUGUGAACCUCUUUCGCUCAUGGUCAAGCCGCAACAAUGGUUGUGGUGAGGGUAGUGGGUAAAGAAGCGCCGGCUAACUACGUG